rnacentral:tRNA from 1 species
UUAGUUGAAGCCAAAAAGAGGCUAAUCACUGUUAAUGAUUUUAUUGAUAAAUAUCCUGCUGUC